UGGAGAAGUCAAUGAUGGUUUAAAACCCAACAUGUCUGAACCUGUCUGAGCAUCUCAAUGAUGCAACCUGUGUGGUCUGAGACUUCUCUGAGA
rnacentral:snoRNA from 1 species